CGCAAAUUACCCAAUCCUGACACAGGGAGGUAGUGACAAUGAAAUAACAAUACAGGGCGAAUGUCUUGUAAUUGGAAUGAUGGUGACCCAAACCCUCACCAGAGUAGCAAUUGGAGGGCAAGUCUGGUGCCAGCAGCCGCGGUAAUUCCAGCUCCAAUAGCGUAUAUUAAACUUGUUGCAGUUAAAAAGCUCGUAGUUGUAUUUUUGCGUUGACGGUUUGACCAUUUGGUUGGUUAUUUCGUUUUCGCUUUUGGGAAUUUCCCUUUUUACUUUGAGAAAAUUAGAGUGUUUCAAGCAGACUUUUGUCUUGAAUACUUCAGCAUGGAAUAAUAGAGUAGGACUUUGGUUCUAUUUUGUUGGUUAUUGAACCUUAGUAAUGGUUAAUAGGAACGGUUGGGGGCAUUUCGUAUUU
rnacentral:rRNA from 1 species